rnacentral:tRNA from 1 species
AUUUUAAUAGCUUAUAUUAGAGCAUAAUAUUGAAGAUAUUAAUAGAUUUGGUCUUAAAAUA